AUUGAACGCUGGCGGCAGGCCUAACACAUGCAAGUCGAGCGGAUGAAGGGAGCUUGCUCCUGGAUUCAGCGGCGGACGGGUGAGUAAUGCCUAGGAAUCUGCCUGGUAGUGGGGGAUAACGUCCGGAAACGGGCGCUAAUACCGCAUACGUCCUGAGGGAGAAAGUGGGGGAUUUUCGGACCUCAUCCUCGCAGAGGACCCUAGGUCGGAUUAGCUAGUUGGUGGGGUAAGGGCCUACCAAGCCGACGAUCCGUAACUGGUCUGAGAGGAUGAUCAGUCACACUGGAACUGAAACACGGUCCAGACUCCUACGGGAGGCAGCAGUGGGGAAUGUUGGACAAUGGGCGAAAGCAUGAUCCAGCCAUGCCGCGUGUGUGAAGAAGGUCUUCGGAUUGUAAAGCACUUUAAGUUGGGAGGAAGGGCAGUAAGUUAAUACCUUGCUGUUUUGACGUUACCAACAGAAUAAGCACCGGCUAACUUCGUG
rnacentral:rRNA from 1 species